rnacentral:rRNA from 1 species
ACGGCGGAGGGGAAGGGCGCCGAGUCCCACGUCGGCAGCCGGGCGGCGCGGCGCCGGAGGAUGGAGAUACGACGGCAUAGACUGGUGGCCGAGCGUGGUGCGGAGGAGGUGUCCAGGAAGAGGCGGAAGCUGGAGGAGGAAUCCUCCUCGACGAACGAGGAGGAGAUUGAGCCGGCCAAGUACGGCGUGAUGUCGGUGUGCGGCCGCCGGAGGGAUAUGGAGGACGCGGUGUCCGUCCGCCCCGAGUUCCUCCCCGGCCACCACUUCUUCGGGGUCUUCGACGGCCAUGGCUGCUCGCAUGUUGCAACGUCGUGCGGGGAGCGGAUGCACGAGAUCGUGGUCGAGGAGGUCGGCAGCGCCCGCUCGUCGGGGUCGGACGAUGCGGAGCGGUGGAUGGGUGUCAUGGAGCGGAGCUUCGCGCGAAUGGACGCCGAGGCCAUGAGCUCAAAAGGUCAAGCCAGUGGAGCGCCCACCUGCCGGUGCGAGCUGCAGCUGCCCAAGUGCGACCACGUCGGCUCCACGGCCGUUGUUGCCGUGGUCGGCCCUCCGCCUCGCCACCUCGUCGUCGCCAACUGCGGUGACAGCCGUGCGGACAUCGGCCGCGGGAGCGCCGCCAUCCCACUCUCAUCCAACCACAAGCCGGAUCGGCCCGACGAGCUGUAGCGGAUCCAAGAGGCCGGAGGGUGCGCCAUCUUCUGGGACAGCGCCCGCGUCUUCGACGUGCUAGCCAUGUCUCGGGCCAUCGGAGACAGCUACCUGAAGCCAUUUGUGAUACCCCGCAGGGCAGAAAUUUUAGUCCUGUAA